ACUCCUACGGGAGGCAGCAGUAGGGAAUCUUCCACAAUGGGCGCAAGCCUGAUGGAGCAACACCGCGUGAGUGAAGAAGGGUUUCGGCUCGUAAAGCUCUGUUGUUAAAGAAGAACACGUAUGAGAGUAACUGUUCAUACGUUGACGGUAUUUAACCAGAAAGUCACGGCUAACUACGUGCCAGCAGCCGCGGUAAUACGUAGGUGGCAAGCGUUAUCCGGAUUUAUUGGGCGUAAAGAGAGUGCAGGCGGUUUUCUAAGUCUGAUGUGAAAGCCUUCGGCUUAACCGGAGAAGUGCAUCGGAAACUGGAUAACUUGAGUGCAGAAGAGGGUAGUGGAACUCCAUGUGUAGCGGUGGAAUGCGUAGAUAUAUGGAAGAG
rnacentral:rRNA from 1 species